GUGCCUAAUACAUGCAAGUCGAACGAGUUCUGAUUAUUGAAAGGUGCUUGCAUCUUGAUUUAAUUUUGAACGAGUGGCGGACGGGUGAGUAACGCGUGGGUAACCUGCCCUUAAGUGGGGGAUAACAUUUGGAAACAGAUGCUAAUACCGCAUAAAUCCGAGAACCGCAUGGUUCUUGGCUGAAAGAUGGCGUAAGCUAUCGCUUUUGGAUGGACCCGCGGCGUAUUAGCUAGUUGGUGAGGUAACGGCUCACCAAGGCAAUGAUACGUAGCCGAACUGAGAGGUUGAUCGGCCACAUUGGGACUGAGACACGGCCCAAACUCCUACGGGAGGCAGCAGUAGGGAAUCUUCCACAAUGGACGCAAGUCUGAUGGAGCAACGCCGCGUGAGUGAAGAAGGCUUUCGGGUCGUAAAACUCUGUUGUUGGAGAAGAAUGGUCGGCAGAGUAACUGUUGUCGGCGUGACGGUAUCCAACCAGAAAGCCACGGCUAACUACGUGCCAGCAGCCGCGGUAAUACGUAGGUGGCAAGCGUUAUCCGGAUUUAUUGGGCGUAAAGCGAGCGCAGGCGGUUUUUUAAGUCUGAUGUGAAAGCCCUCGGCUUAACCGAGGAAGUGCAUCGGAAACUGGGAAACUUGAGUGCAGAAGAGGACAGUGGAACUCCAUGUGUAGCGGUGAAAUGCGUAGAUAUAUGGAAGAACACCAGUGGCGAAGGCGGCUGUCUGGUCUGUAACUGACGCUGAGGCUCGAAAGCAUGGGUAGCGAACAGGAUUAGAUACCCUGGUAGUCCAUGCCGUAAACGAUGAAUGCUAGGUGUUGGAGGGUUUCCGCCCUUCAGUGCCGCAGCUAACGCAUUAAGCAUUCCGCCUGGGGAGUACGACCGCAAGGUUGAAACUCAAAGGAAUUGACGGGGGCCCGCACAAGCGGUGGAGCAUGUGGUUUAAUUCGAAGCAACGCGAAGAACCUUACCAGGUCUUGACAUCUUUUGAUCACCUGAGAGAUCAGGUUUCCCCUUCGGGGGCAAAAUGACAGGUGGUGCAUGGUUGUCGUCAGCUCGUGUCGUGAGAUGCUGGGUUAAGUCCCGCAACGAGCGCAACCCUUAUGACUAGUUGCCAGCAUUUAGUUGGGCACUCUAGUAAGACUGCCGGUGACAAACCGGAGGAAGGUGGGGAUGACGUCGAAUCAUCAUGCCCCUUAUGACCUGGGCUACACACGUGCUACAAUGGAUGGUACAACGAGUUGCGAGACCGCGAGGUCAAGCUAAUCUCUUAAAGCCAUUCUCAGUUCGGACUGUAGGCUGCAACUCGCCUACACGAAGUCGGAAUCGCUAGUAAUCGCGGAUCAGCACGCCGCGGUGAAUACGUUCCCGGGCCUUGUACACACCGCCCGUCACACCAUGAGAGUUUGUAACACCCGAAGCCGGUGGCGUAACCCUUUUAGGGAGCGAGCCGUCUAAGGUGGGACAAAUGAUUAGGGUGAAGUCAUAAC
rnacentral:rRNA from 1 species